rnacentral:rRNA from 1 species
ACGAACGCUGGCGGCGUGCCUAAUACAUGCAAGUAGAACGCUGAAGAGAGGAGCUUGCUCUUCUUGGAUGAGUUGCGAACGGGUGAGUAACGCGUAGGUAACCUGCCUUGUAGCGGGGGAUAACUAUUGGAAACGAUAGCUAAUACCGCAUAACAAUGGAUGACACAUGUCAUUUAUUUGAAAGGGGCAAUUGCUCCACUACAAGAUGGACCUGCGUUGUAUUAGCUAGUAGGUGAGGUAACGGCUCACCUAGGCGACGAUACAUAGCCGACCUGAGAGGGUGAUCGGCCACACUGGGACUGAGACACGGCCCAGACUCCUACGGGAGGCAGCAGUAGGGAAUCUUCGGCAAUGGGGGCAACCCUGACCGAGCAACGCCGCGUGAGUGAAGAAGGUUUUCGGAUCGUAAAGCUCUGUUGUAAGUCAAGAACGAGUGUGAGAGUGGAAAGUUCACACUGUGACGGUAGCUUACCAGAAAGGGACGGCUAACUACGUGCCAGCAGCCGCGGUAAUACGUAGGUCCCGAGCGUUGUCCGGAUUUAUUGGGCGUAAAGCGAGCGCAGGCGGUUUGAUAAGUCUGAAGUUAAAGGCUGUGGCUCAACCAUAGUUCGCUUUGGAAACUGUCAAACUUGAGUGCAGAAGGGGAGAGUGGAAUUCCAUGUGUAGCGGUGAAAUGCGUAGAUAUAUGGAGGAACACCGGUGGCGAAAGCGGCUCUCUGGUCUGUAACUGACGCUGAGGCUCGAAAGCGUGGGGAGCGAACAGGAUUAGAUACCCUGGUAGUCCACGCCGUAAACGAUGAGUGCUAGGUGUUGGAUCCUUUCCGGGAUUCAGUGCCGCAGCUAACGCAUUAAGCACUCCGCCUGGGGAGUACGACCGCAAGGUUGAAACUCAAAGGAAUUGACGGGGGCCCGCACAAGCAGUGGAGUAUGUGGUUUAAUUCGACGCAACGCGAAGAACCUUACCAAGUCUUGACAUCCUGCGACGAUGCUGGAAACAGUAUUUUCCUUCGGGACGCAGAGACAGGUGGUGCAUGGUUGUCGUCAGCUCGUGUCGUGAGAUGUUGGGUUAAGUCCCGCAACGAGCGCAACCCCUAUUGUUAGUUGCCAUCAUUCAGUUGGGCACUCUAGCGAGACUGCCGGUAAUAAACCGGAGGAAGGUGGGGAUGACGUCAAAUCAUCAUGCCCCUUAUGACCUGGGCUACACACGUGCUACAAUGGUUGGUACAACGAGUUGCGAGUCGGUGACGGCAAGCUAAUCUCUUAAAGCCAAUCUCAGUUCGGAUUGUAGGCUGCAACUCGCCUACAUGAAGUCGGAAUCGCUAGUAAUCGCGGAUCAGCACGCCGCGGUGAAUACGUUCCCGGGCCUUGUACACACCGCCCGUCACACCACGAGAGUUUGUAACACCCGAAGUCGGUGAGGUAACCUUUUGGAGCCAGCCGCCUAAGGUGGGAUAGAUGAUUGGGGUG